rnacentral:tRNA from 1 species
GGUGGCUCAGUGGUAGAGUGCUUGCUUGGCAUGCAUGAGGCCCUGGGUUCAAUUCCUCAGCACCA